AUGUCUACCUCUGCUGCUCUGGUCUCCUCCGGCCUCAACUACAACGUCUCCGAGCCACUCACCUGGACGAACUAUGUCAUCUGGCGAGCCCAGGCGCGAUCCUAGAUAAUGGGCACCGGCCUGUACGGCUACAUCGACCAAACCAUGGCAGAUCCUUCCAAGAUCAUCACCACCAAGGACAAGGACGGCAAGGAUCAGGUGAUCACCAACCCUGCCUAUGCCCCCUGGUUAAUUCAAGAUCAACAGAUCAUCGCAUAUCUCCUUCGAAAUCUCUCCAAGGAGGUGCUGGUUCAAGUUGCAUCGAUGGAAACAUCACAUGCGAUUUGGACGGCCCUGAGCAACAUGUUCUCCGCUGUAUCGCUCUCCCGCAUCAACAACAUUCGGGCCUCCCUCACCAACGCCCAGAAGGGCAACCAGCCGGCAGCAACCUACUUCGGGCACAUGCAUGCUCUCUCCGAUGAGCUCGCGGCGGCAGGCAAACCGAUCGGGGAGAACCAGCUGGUGUCGUUCAUCCUCUCGGGCUUGACAUGGAGUAUCAGCCCAUCAUCUCCGCCUUGGACGCACGUACUGAUUCAGUCACCGUUGAGAACCUCUUUGCCAUGGUAG
rnacentral:rRNA from 1 species